ACAUACACACACACACACACACACACACACACACAUACAUACACAUACAUAUACAGAAAGAGAGAGAGGCAAAACCAGAGUAAAAAGAACCUAUUCUAUACCUAACUAGUUCGACAGGUCUGUGGGGUAAAUUAUAUUCCAGCCACAGACCAUCCAUUCAUACUUACCAUGCAUGCAAAUAAAUACCAAGAGAAGAUAUAAAAUAUAUAUGCUACGCCGAAUCCUGUGCGGCGCUAAUCAUUCACACUUCCAAAAUAUGUUUGACUGUCACAGUUGCGCUGCACAGGGGACACCUGGGUAUCAGUCCGAUGAAGAGGUUCCCAUGUGUCAGGACCUGAGGUUUCACUGAUUUUAGCAUUUCGGACAUGGUAGUCCAGCUGACCUGCCAGUCUUUCCAGCGUUUCAAUACGCUUUUAACUUCUGCUGGACUGGUCACAAUCACAAAUUGAAAUCCUGUCUGCUGGUUGUAUACAAUACAUGUUCAGUUAUGGAUGGAAAUAAAUGAAAUUUUUAAAAAAAAUUGAUUCUGUAAUGCGAGAGAUAUAGUAGUAAUAAAAAAUUAAUCAA